AGAAGAAAACGCAUCCGCCGGAUCAGCAGCGGCGAACACUGCCGCAGCAUCAACGGCGACCUCAGCAGCGGCGAACACCGCCGUAGCAUCAACGGCGACCUCAGCAGCGACGGACACCUCCGCCGCGAACGAGUCGCUGGACUCAAUACUAGCGCGGCAGCGAGAAAUCGCUGCCGCAUACGAGUCCGGGAGGGCUUCCCAGUGGAGGAACAUAUUGGGCCAAUUGGCCAGACGGGUAGCCAGGCCUAACCUGGCAAACCUGGUGGCGGCCAAUAGAGAGCUAAAAAAACUCUUCAAAACGUUCAUCUAUGGCCCCCAAAAGAGGGGCAAAGAACGAAAAGGGAAAGGAGGAAGAGGAG